AGAGUUUGAUCCUGGCUCAGGAUGAACGCUGGCGGCGUGCCUAACACAUGCAAGUCGAACGGAGCUGCUUUGAUGAAGUUUUCGGAUGGAUUUAAAACAGCUUAGUGGCGGACGGGUGAGUAACGCGUGGGUAACCUGCCUCACACUGGGGGAUAACAGUUAGAAAUAGCUGCUAAUACCGCAUAAGCGCACGGUUCCGCAUGGAACAGUGUGAAAAACUCCGGUGGUGUGAGAUGGACCCGCGUCUGAUUAGCCAGUUGGCGGGGUAACGGCCCACCAAAGCGACGAUCAGUAGCCGGCCUGAGAGGGUGAACGGCCACAUUGGGACUGAGACACGGCCCAAACUCCUACGGGAGGCAGCAGUGGGGAAUAUUGCACAAUGGGGGAAACCCUGAUGCAGCGACGCCGCGUGAGUGAAGAAGUAUUUCGGUAUGUAAAGCUCUAUCAGCAGGGAAGAAAAUGACGGUACCUGACUAAGAAGCCCCGGCUAACUACGUGCCAGCAGCCGCGGUAAUACGUAGGGGGCAAGCGUUAUCCGGAUUUACUGGGUGUAAAGGGAGCGUAGACGGCAAGGCAAGUCUGAAGUGAAAGCCCGGUGCUUAACGCCGGGACUGCUUUGGAAACUGUUUAGCUGGAGUGCCGGAGAGGUAAGCGGAAUUCCUAGUGUAGCGGUGAAAUGCGUAGAUAUUAGGAAGAACACCAGUGGCGAAGGCGGCUUACUGGACGGUAACUGACGUUGAGGCUCGAAAGCGUGGGGAGCAAACAGGAUUAGAUACCCUGGUAGUCCACGCCGUAAACG
rnacentral:rRNA from 1 species